AUCUCAACAAUGUCUCCUUCCUUUUUUUAAGUCCACUCUUAUUGUUAGUUAGAUUCAACAGUUUUUUUGUAACAAUUUAUUUUGUGUUCACCCUUUCAUUCAAUCUUAUUUUUUUCUGGUUUUUAUGUCUCUUCCAUGACCGUCUUAUAUUGACAAAAAAUGGUGACAUCUUCGUUUAGAAAAUACUGUUUAUUUGGAAGCUAAUAGGUUAAACGGAACCAAACGUUAAUUCCUGUAAGGUUUAUUUAUGUGUAACAUUAUCGGGAUUCAAUUGAAAUUGGCACCAACUGAUGCUGAAGACGGAAAUACUAUCGAGCGAUUUAAAGAAGGAUUGAAUUCAUCAGCCAGAAUGUUUCAAGUUAAAUUUUUUCGGAGUUUCAAGGCAACAUGUCAAUCCUUUUGUAUCCGAGAAUCUAUCAACUGAAUUUCCAGUUCUCUAAAGGUGAAUCCAAAUUACUAGAAGGUGUAACUUCAGGAUUGUCAUUCUUCAGUUUGCCAUGGCAUCAGAUACAAAUGGAUACAUUCAGCAAAAGUUUCAAAUUUGCACAUCUGAAGUGACUUUAUAUUUGCUGUUAUUCCUAAAGUAUGCCUGGAAAUUUCAUUUCUGAAAUGGUCACAAUUAUCUGCUCAAAUAAUUUCCAGUUUACUAAUUAAAUUAGCCUUUGCUACAUAUUAAUCUUUGAGCUAAAUUAAUGAAAUAAGCCAUUAAUAUGAUUAAAAUUUCUGACUUUGUCGUUAAUUUGACUUGAAAAAUGAUUUAAUAAGACAUUUAUUGUAACGAUAAUGUUCAUUAAUAUUUAUAACAUUGUUGAAAUUUAAGCAAUUUUGUUUUUAAUUUUUGUCAUUUCCACUUUUUUCUUUACAUCUGUAAGCUUAAAUUGUUCAAACUGUUCUGAUUUAUAUUUUUUCAUUGUUCAUCAUUCACUACCUAUUUAAGUGUCAGUUUAUCCCUUAAAAAAUUACAGCCAAACAAUUAAGCACCUCAUCUAUUCAAGCUGUUUUUUGUCCUGAGACUCAUUGUCAUCGAAAUCGUAUAAAAAAUUAAGAUUAUUCAUCUCUCAA